UACGUAGGGACCGAGCGUUGUCCGGAAUCAUUGGGCGUAAAGAGCGUGUAGGCGGCUUGCUAAGUCUUGCGUGAAAUCUCGGGGCUCAACCCCGAGCGGUCGUGGGAAACUGGCAGGCUAGAGUGCGGGAGAGGAGAGUGGAAUUCCUGGUGUAGCGGUGAAAUGCGCAGAUAUCAGGAAGAACACCCGUGGCGAAGGCGGCUCUCUGGAACGCAACUGACGCUGAGACGCGAAAGCGUGGGGAGCAAACAGG
rnacentral:rRNA from 1 species